AUGAAAUAUCUGGGGAUCCCUGUUACCUACUCUACUAUCAGGAAUGUGGAUCUGGAUUUCCUUGAGGGUAAAAUGAUCAAAAAGCUCGAUGCCUGGGUAGCUUAUGCGGCAUCUUCUGGAGCCAGGCUGACUCUGUUAGGAUCCAGUUUGGAUGGGAUCCCUUCUUUCCUUAUGUCGAUGUUCCUCUUCAAUAAAACUUUUAUUGAGAAACUGGAUAAACAUCGCAGACGUUUCUUUUGGAGGAGAAAAAAAAUAAGAAACAUGGCUACCACAAGGUUAAGUGGACGAGAGUUUGCAGAUCUAAGAGGAUUGGGGGGUUGGGGAUUAAAGAUCUUCAUAAAAAAUAUUGCCUUACUCGUUAAGUGGUGGUGGAAAUUAGAAACGAGUGAUGGGUUAUGGCAGCGUAUAGUUCGAGCUAGAUACUUCAGGAAUAAAACAGUAGCUAACAUUCGGAGUCGUUUCUCGGAUUCCCCCUGCUGGAAAGCCAUUAUGAAAGUCAAGGAUUCAUAUAUGGCUGGUAGAAAAGUUGAUAUUGAGAGUGGAAACCUUACUAGGGUCUGGUAUGACCCUUGGGUUGAGAACACUGCGUUGAAAGAUCGUUUCCCUGACUUGUUCAGUAUUUGCCAGGAACAGGAAUGCACUGUUGCAUCCGGGGCUGCAAGCAAUUAUGAGCUUGGCUUCAAAUGCAGAUUGGUUGGGGUGUUGGGCGAACAAUGGGCUUGGAUGGUCAUGGAAGCUAAAAAACUGUCGUUGAAUGAGUCCCCAGAUAAGAUUUCAUGGGCCCUUGGUGGUAAAGGGAAAUUUACUACUAAAUCCUUAUAUGAAUGGCUGGAAAGAAACCUAGCAGGUCCUAACUAUAAAAUGGUGUGGAAAGCGCCCAUUUCACUGAAGAUUAAGAUUUUCCUUUCGCAGCUGUUUCAAAAUGCAAUCCUUACCCGUGAUAACAUGCGUGCUAGGAAUUGGCCUGGAAAUCCCAUUUGCUCCUUCUGUACUAAUGUUGAAACGGCGAAUCACUUGUUCUUUUCCUGCUCGCUUGCUCGUUCCGUAUGGGGGGCGCUGGGCAUGACGGCCGGGGCAUCUUGCUGUCCUCGCUCUCUUUGGCAAAGUUUGCUG
rnacentral:rRNA from 1 species